UAAGAGAGGAGGCCUCAGGAGCGCCUAGGGCAGCCCUUUCAGCCUGGGCUGUGGGAAGGGAAGGUGGACAGAGAGGAGACCCCAUGCCUUUGUUCCCUGUUGAUGCAGAAGCAUUCUAGGCUCUGUCCCUUAUUCCUGCUGUGGGCUGAAGCUUCAGGCAAGGUGCUCUACAAACUUCAGUUGCCUCAUCUAUCAAACAGUAACGUUUAACAUUCCAGAGACAGAAGUUGAUCUUUGGGACUUUUUUUGAUUUUAAGAUCUAGGCUGGCUGGGGCGGUGGCUCAUGCCUGUAAUCCCAGCACUUUGAGAGGCCGAGACCGGUGGAUCACGAGAUCAUCAGGAGAUGAGACCAUCCUGGCUAACAUGUUAGCCUGGCCUCCAGAGCUCUUGGACUGCAGCACCCAUAAUGAUGGCCAAAGCCGCCCCCACGGCGACUCCUCCUGCUGAAGCAAAGUCAGGCAGAACAAUAAGGUAUGUGUUGAAUAUGAGGAUGUCUUACAUA
rnacentral:lncRNA from 10 species